rnacentral:rRNA from 1 species
UAGAGUUUGAUCAUGGCUCAGAUUGAACGCUGGCGGCAGGCCUAACACAUGCAAGUCGAGCGGAUGAGAGGAGCUUGCUCCUGGAUUCAGCGGCGGACGGGUGAGUAAUGCCUAGGAAUCUGCCUGGUAGUGGGGGACAACGUUUCGAAAGGAACGCUAAUACCGCAUACGUCCUACGGGAGAAAGCAGGGGACCUUCGGGCCUUGCGCUAUCAGAUGAGCCUAGGUCGGAUUAGCUAGUUGGUGAGGUAAUGGCUCACCAAGGCGACGAUCCGUAACUGGUCUGAGAGGAUGAUCAGUCACACUGGAACUGAGACACGGUCCAGACUCCUACGGGAGGCAGCAGUGGGGAAUAUUGGACAAUGGGCGAAAGCCUGAUCCAGCCAUGCCGCGUGUGUGAAGAAGGUCUUCGGAUUGUAAAGCACUUUAAGUUGGGAGGAAGGGCAGUAAAUUAAUACUUUGCUGUUUUGACGUUACCGACAGAAUAAGCACCGGCUAACUU